UACGAAGGGGGCUAGCGUUGUUCGGAAUUACUGGGCGUAAAGGGCGCGUAGGCGGCUUCGCUAGUCGGGCGUGAAAUGCCUGGGCUUAACCCCGGGAAUUGCGUUCGAUACUUCGAGGCUAGAGUGUGGGGAGAGGUUGGUGGAAUUCCCAGUGUAGAGGUGAAAUUCGUAGAUAUUGGGAAGAACACCGGUGGCGAAGGCGGCCAACUGGACCACAACUGACGCUGAGGCGCGAAAGCGUGGGGAGCAAACAGG
rnacentral:rRNA from 1 species